AGCUUUGCGCAGUGGCAGUAUCGUAGCCAGUGAGCUUUAUCUGAGGUGUGAUUAUUGCUAAUUGAAAAUAUUUCCAGCACCCAACAAAAUCCAUAAUAGUCUGGCAUUCAACAACAAAAUUACCAAGAAU
ensembl:snRNA U4 U4 spliceosomal RNA